CAGUAGCCGCGGUAAUACGUAGGGUGCAAGCGUUAAUCGGAAUUACUGGGCGUAAAGCGUGCGCAGGCGGUUCGUUAAGACAGAUGUGAAAUCCCCGGGCUUAACCUGGGAACUGCAUUUGUGACUGGCGGGCUAGAGUAUGGCAGAGGGGGGUAGAAUUCCACGUGUAGCAGUGAAAUGCGUAGAGACGUGGAGGAAUACCGAUGGCGAAGGCAGCCCCCUGGGCCAAUACUGACGCUCAUGCACGAAAGCGUGGGGAGCAAACAGGAUUAGAUACCCCUGUAGUCCCUGUCUCUUAUAC
rnacentral:rRNA from 1 species